rnacentral:ncRNA from 1 species
AUAUCAUUUUGAGGAAUUCUAACAGAAGUUUCUAUUAGUAGUGUAAGUUGGGCAAAGUGUCUUAUUUUUUUAAAGUAUUUAAAAGUAAAAUUACAUGUUAAUACGUAGUAUUAAUGGCGAGACUCCUGAGGGAGCAGUGCCAGUCGAAGACCGAGGCUGAGACGGCACCCUAGGAAAGCG